rnacentral:ncRNA from 1 species
AAAGCCCUCUCCCCGGAAAGGUGUAGCGAACCGCCGGGACCCCGAGUCAUGGGCCGGACUGUCGGCGAGGGCAGCGGUUAAGCGUUGACAGGGGCAUGCAUAGGCUCGGUAUGGAGCUCCGAAAUCAAGGUUGGGAACGCUGACCGCGUUGGGUGAGCGGGAAGGCAAGACGAGCGGUCGCGUCAGCGCAAGUGGCCGAUCGGUUCCCCGGAGUCGAAGACCC